rfam:Salmo salar isolate Sally breed double haploid chromosome ssa05, whole genome shotgun sequence.
UAGCAUCUCUACUGUAAGUCGCUCUGGAUAAGAGCGUCUGCUAAAUGACUUAAA